ensembl:antisense Gm11651 predicted gene 11651
AUAGUUCUCCUUGGUGAUGCUUCCAUCAAAGACCCUCCAGCGCCACUGGUCGAUGAGGUAGCUGAAGGGGAUAAAGGCGAUCUUGUCGAGGGCCAUCUUCAUUAGAAAGUUGAUGUCAUACUCUGCCAAGAGAAAGACAGAAAGAACACAGCCUCAGGUCUGACCGGAAGUCCUUCCGGUUGUAGAAGUCCCAGGCAGAGGCGUGGCACACCACCUCCCGUCCAUCCGUUGGUUUCUCCAGCAUUGACUCCGCCCAGAACUCAGGAGGCAUGGAACUGAAAGCAAGGAGAGAGAAAGACAGGGUGGAGCUGGAGGCCCAACUGUCUCUGAAGAGCUCCUGAGUACCCAGGCCAGACAGUGGAAGAGCAGGCUGUGCUUUCUGCUGGCUCAUUCUCAGGCCCAGCUGUGUGGCAGUGUGACAUCCUCUUUACUCUCCGAUUAGGGACUAAGUUCAGGAAUGAACAGCUCUGCCUUACAGACGUGAUGAAAUCAAAGGCUCACUACUGUGAUAAAAUAAUCUAACCUUGCUUACUGAUAGCCUGGGUACUUGGAGUCGUCACCCUCCUCCUCCCUCAAGGUGACAAUGUAUUGUAAGAGCUUGUUGAAGCACAGGGCUUUCCACUAUGCCAUACUUUUGGGGGAGUGGAUACAGACUCUAUCAAUCUGCUUUAUUCUCUGUGGGUUUCCCAGAGCUUAGCAUGCACCUGUCACAAAGAAGGGAGCACAGGGGUGACAUGAAUGACUGGCGUUCGAGCACAUGCCCCUGGCAGGGAGCUCCCGGUCUCUGCAAGAGCGAUCUAUGAAGAACCAAACCCCACCAAUUUGGAAUUUACAGUAAUACAUUGAAUAUCGUGAUAAAUCAAAGUUAAAAAUAACUUUCUCUAUUUUUAGGGUCUUGUUCAUGAAGGAGAGGGAACAUAAGGAAAAUAUACCUUACACUUGUAUUGCACGUUGGAUGUUUCUGUACCCUUAUGUGCGAGUGGUAUAAUUUGACGUUUAGAUAUCCCCGGGAGGUAGGGAAGUGGUAAGGUUCUCUCUCCCCUGUCAGCUCCCAGGUGCCACAGACUGUGGAGGAGGCCCCCAACCCUGCAGGAAGAUCUAAUUAGGAUGAGGCCAGUGAGGAGUUGUGCAGAUCCUGCCCACCUGUGCAGACGGGGCCUGCUCGUGCCGCCAAUCUCUCACCCUUUAAAUCCUUUCCAGUUACUCAUAACUACAGAGCCGAGGGAUAAUCCUUAAAAAUAAACUCAUCACUAAGC